rnacentral:rRNA from 1 species
UACAUGGGGUGCGAACGUUGCUCGGAAUUAUUGGGCGUAAAGAGCGCGCAGGCGGUCGUACAAGUCGCGUGUGAAAGCCCCCGGCUCAACUGGGGAGGGUCACGCGAUACUGUUCGACUCGAAGGCAGGAGAGGGAAGCAGAAUUCCCGGUGUAGUGGUGAAAUGCGUAGAUAUCGGGAGGAAUACCAGUGGCGAAGGCGGCUUCCUGGCCUGUUCUUGACGCUGAGGCGCGAAAGCUAGGGUAGCAAACGGG